CCGAAAAUAUUGGACAAUGGGCGAAAGCCUGAUCCAGCGACGUUGCGUGAGGGAUGAAGACGUUCGCGCCGUAAACCUCUUUUAUAGGGAAAGAAGUCAUUGACGGUACUCUAUGAAUAAGCGGGGGCUAAUUCUGUGCCAGCAGCAGCGGUAAUACAGAACCCGCAAGCGUUAUCCGGAUUUAUUGGGCGUAAAGUGUUCGUAGGCGGUUUGGUAAGUCUGGUUUUAAACCUUUCGGGCUCAACCCGGAAGCCGAACCGGAUACUGCCAGACUUGAAGAUGCUAGGGGCUAUCGGAACGCACGGUGUAGGGGUGAAAUCCGUUGAUAUCGUGCGGAACACCAAAAGCGAAGGCAGAUAGCUGGGGCAAUCUUGACGCUGAGGAACGAAAGCGUGGGGAG
rnacentral:rRNA from 1 species